GCCAUGCCGCGUGCUAGUGAUGAAGCGAUCUUAUGGUGUGUAAACUGCUUUUAUACGGGAAAAAACCCUGGCUCGUGAGCCAGAUUGACGGUACCGUAGGAAUAAGGAUCGGCUAACUCCGUGCCAGCAGCCGCGGUAAUACGGAGGAUCCGAGCGUUAUCCGGAAUCAUUGGGUUUAAAGGGUCCGUAGGCGGUUUUAUAAGUCAGUGGUGAAAUCCGGUAGCUCAACUAUCGAACGGCCAUUGAUACUGUAGAACUUGAAUUAUUGUGAAGUAACUAAAAUAUGUAGUGUAUCGGUGAAAUGCUUAGAUAUUACGUGGAAUACCGAUUGCUAAGGCAGGUUACUAACAAUACAUUGACGCUGAUGGACGAAAGCGUGGGGAGCGAACAGGAUUAGAUACCCUGGUAGUCCACGCCGUAAACGAUGGAUACUAUCUGUUCGGUAGCUAUACUGAGUGGCUAAGCGAAAGUGAUAAGUAUCCCACCUGGGGAGUACGAACGCAAGUUUGAAACUCCCAGGAAUUGACGGGAGCCCGCACAAGCGGUGGAGCAUGUGGUUUAAUUC
rnacentral:rRNA from 1 species